GUGGGGAAUUUUUCGCAAUGGGGGAAACCCUGACGAAGCAACGCCGCGUGGAUGAUGAAGUAUUUCGGUACGUAAAAUCCUUUCGACAGGAAAGAAACCCGCAAGGGUUGACGGUACCUGUGGAAGAAGCCCCGGCUAACUCCGUGCCAGCAGCCGCGGUAAUACGGGGGGGGCAAGCGUUGUUCGGAAUUACUGGGCGUAAAGGGCGCGUAGGCGGUUUGCUAAGUUGGAUGUGAAAACUCCGGGCUUAACCUGGAGCCUGCAUCCAAAACUGGCAGGCUUGAGUUUGGGAGGGGGAAGCGGAAUUCCCGGUGUAGCAGUGAAAUGCGUAGAUAUCGGGAGGAACACCGGCGGCGAAGGCGGCUUCCUGGACCAAAACUGACGCUGAGGCGCGAAAGCUAGGGGAGCAAACAGGAUUAGAUACCCGGGUAGUCC
rnacentral:rRNA from 1 species